AACGAACGCUGGCGGCAGGCCUAACACAUGCAAGUCGAGCGCCCCGCAGGGGGAGCGGCGGACGGGUGAGUAACGCGUGGGAACGUGCCCUUUGCUACGGAAUAGUCCCGGGAAACGGGGCGUAAUACCGUAUAAGCCCUACGGGGGAAAGAUUUAUCGGCAAAGGAUCGGCCCGCGUUGGAUUAGGUAGUUGGUGGGGUAAUGGCCUACCAAGCCGACGCUCCAUAGCUGGUUUGAGAGGAUGAUCAGCCACACUGGGACUGAGACACGGCCCAGACUCCUACGGGAGGCAGCAGUGGGGAAUCUUAGACAAUGGGCGCAAGCCUGAUCUAGCCAUGCCGCGUGAGCGAUGAAGGCCUUAGGGUUGUAAAGCUCUUUCGUGGGGGAAGAUAAUGACUGUACCCCAAGAAGAAGCCCCGGCUAACUCCGUGCCAGCAGCCGCCGUAAUAC
rnacentral:rRNA from 1 species